GAUGAACGCUAGCGGCAGGCCUAAUACAUGCAAGUCGAAAGAGAUUAAGAGGCUUGCUUCUUAUGAAAGUGGCGCACGGGUGCGUAACGCGUAUGCAACCUACCUUAAUCAGGGGGAUAGCCCGAAGAAAUUCAGAUUAAGACCGCAUAAAAACACAGGAUAGCAUUAUCCAAUGUUCAAAUAUUUAUAGGAUUAAGAUGGGCAUGCGUGUCAUUAGCUAGUUGGCGGGGUAACGGCCCACCAAGGCGACGAUGACUAGGGGAUCUGAGAGGAUGACCCCCCACACUGGUACUGAGACACGGACCAGACUCCUACGGGAUGCAGCAGUAAGGAAGAUUGGUCAAUGGAGGUAACUCUGAACCAGCCAUGCCGCGUGCAGGAAGACAGCCCUCUGGGUCGUAAACUGCUUUUAUUCGGGAAUAAGCCUUUCUACGUGUAGGAAGCUGAAUGUACCGAAGGAAUAAGGAUCGGCUAACUCCGUGCCAGCCGCCGCCGUAA
rnacentral:rRNA from 1 species